GGACUACUAGGGUUUCUAAUCCGGUUCGCUCCCCACGCUUUCGUGCCUCAGUGUCAGAAAUGGUCCAGUUACCUGCCUACGCCAUUGGUGUUCCUUCUAAUAUCUACGGAUUUCACUCCUACACUAGAAAUUCCAGUAACCUCUACCAUUCUCGAGUUAUGCAGUUUGAAUAAUAGCCUGUACGGUUGAGCCGCCAGAUUUCACUAUUCACUUACAUAACCACCUACGCAACUCUUUACGCCCAGUCACUCCGGAUAACGCUUGGGUCCUACGUAUUACCGCGGCGGCUGGCAC
rnacentral:misc_RNA from 1 species